GUUAUUAUCUUGAAUAUUAUUAUAGAUAGAGAUAAACUGUAAACAGCAAUAAUGUUCAGCAAAGUAAGAUUUACAAAUAAGUCAACAUGACCAAAAUGGUCAGUUGACCACUUUAGGAGUUAUUGCCCUUUAUAGUCAAUUUUUAACCAUUUUUUUGUAAAUCUUAGUAAUCUUUUACAAAAAUCUUCUCCUCUGAAACUACUGGGCCAAAUUAAUCCAAACUUGGCCACAAUCAUCAUUGGGGUAGCUAGUUUAAAAAACGUAUGGUGUGACCCUUCCAACCAACCAAGAUGGCCACCAUGGCUAAAAAUAGAACAAAGAGGUAAAAUGCAGUAGAUUUGGCUUAUAACUCAAAAACCAAAGCAUUUAGAGCAAAUAUGACAUGGGUUUAAUAAUCUAUUAGGUCAAGAUCUAUCUGCCCUGAAAUUUUCAGAUGAAUCGGACAACCGGUUGUUGGGUUGCUGCCCCUGAAUUGGUAAUUUUAAGGAAAUUUUGCUGUUUUUGGCUUAUUAUCUUGAAUAUUAUUAUAGAUAGAGAUAAACUGUAAACAGCAAUAAUGUUCAGCAAAGUAAGAUUUACAAAUAAGUCAACAUGACCGAAAUGGUCAGUUGACCCCUUUAGGAGUUAUUGCCCGUUAUAGUCAAUUUUUAACCAUUUUUCGUAAAUCUUAGUAAUCUUUUACAAAAAUCUUCUCCUCUGAAACUACUGGGCCAAAUUUAAUCCAAACUUGGCCCACAAUCAUCAUUUGGGGUAGCUAGUUUAAAAAAUGUGUGGCGUGACCCUUGGCCAACCAAACCAAGAUGGCCGCCAUGGCUAAAAAUAGAACAAAGGGGUAAAAUGCAGUUUUUAGGCUUAUAACUCAAAAACCAAGGCAU
rnacentral:lncRNA from 1 species